GAGAGGGACACCUUCCACCAACCCAAGUUUCUCCAGGCACAGCUUGGAUGGGGUCCCUUCCAUGUGCACGCUGAGAUCUCCCUUCCUGCAUCCCACCAGGCCCUGGAGCCAUUGCAAGGCACUGGAAGGAAUCCCAAAGGAGCCCGGGAUGAGGCCGGGCUGCUCCCGGCAUGAGAAAGUGGGGCCAUCCGUGCAGAUGUUGCCCGGGGGAAGCCGAGGUUCCCACACCGACACAUUGUUGCCAUGAUAAAAGAAUAAGAGGUGAAACUCUAUUCCUUCCUUUCCCCAUCUCCGCAGUAUUCUCCGAAUCCCCGGACAGAAGGCUGUUGGGAUGAAAGUGCCAAACCAAGAUGCAGGGCCCAAUCCUGCUGUUCCUGAUCCCACUCCUUGCCAGACUUCUUUUCCAUGAUGGGGUAAGGGGGCUGAGACUUGUCCCCCUGGGACUCAGAGUGUUCCUUCCCAGGGAGGACACAAGGACACAACAAGCCUUUUCCCACCCCUGCUGGAUGGAUCCCUCUUUGCCCCUGGAUGGAGGCAGCAGAGUGGCCACAGCUCUCACACACAGGGUCAUUAUCCUCAGGAAAUAACAACAUCCAGGCAAAGAUCGCUCACAUGCCAUGUUUUUGGGAGCUGAAGUGAAGCCCUCUUUGAAGGAC